rnacentral:rRNA from 1 species
GUGGGGAAUUUUGGACAAUGGGGGCAACCCUGAUCCAGCAAUGCCGCGUGCAGGAAGAAGGCCUUCGGGUUGUAAACUGCUUUUGUACGGAACGAAAAGGCUCUGGUUAAUACCUGGGGCACAUGACGGUACCGUAAGAAUAAGCACCGGCUAACUACGUGCCAGCAGCCGCGGUAAUACGUAGGGUGCAAGCGUUAAUCGGAAUUACUGGGCGUAAAGCGUGCGCAGGCGGUGCUGUAAGACAGGCGUGAAAUCCCCGGGCUUAACCUGGGAAUGGCGCUUGUGACUGCAGUGCUGGAGUGUGGCAGAGGGGGAUGGAAUUCCGCGUGUAGCAGUGAAAUGCGUAGAUAUGCGGAGGAACACCGAUGGCGAAGGCAGUCCCCUGGGCCUGUACUGACGCUCAUGCACGAAAGCGUGGGGAGCAAACAGGAUUAGAUACCCCUGUAGUCC